GCCGAAGUGGCGGAAUUGGCAGACGCAGCGGAUUCAAAAUCCGCCGCCUUCACGGGCGUAUCGGUUCAAGUCCGAUCUUCGGUA
rnacentral:tRNA from 1 species